rnacentral:lncRNA from 1 species
CUUUGACAGCCCAGUGUACUGUCGUGAUUGCAUUCAUUUCAAUGGCUUUCUUCAAAAUAUUCUCUUUUUCGGAAAAGUUGUGGGAUUUAAUCACGAAGGCGCGUGACGGUUCCUUGUCGUCCACUGGUUUGUUGCAUAGAGAUUGAUUUGAGCGGGUAGACCUUUCCUCAAGAUCUUGGCUUUGGUCUCAGCAGAGCCAGCUUCUUUUUUCACGAUACUAAACUCUUUUUCCAGGGUAGUAAGAGAGUCGGAGUAUCCACCCAACACAGGCUCCAGACCAGUCACUCGCUCUUUCGCUGCUUCCACUCUGGCGUUAACCACUCUUCCAGUUCCUUUCUUGCUUUUUUCAAGAUGGAGAACCAAACUUUACAAGUUAAACUCCGCAGACACGGAGGAGCUGCAAAAUCUCCGUUUGCUCCAGAGGCCUACUCAUCCUCCGACCCCCACCUCAACACCUCGCCCACAAUGGAGGCAAGAGAAAGCAGAAGAGGGGCAAGCGUGGGGGGAUCUGAACUAGGCUAGCGGCUAACCCACAC